CCUACGGGUGGCAGCAGUCGAGAAUCAUUCACAAUGGGGGAAACCCUGAUGGUGCGACGCCGCGUGGGGGAAUGAAGUUCUUCGGAUUGUAAACCCCUGUCAUGUGGAAGCAAAUUAACAAGAUAGUACCACAAGAGGAAGAGACGACUAACUCUGUGCCAGCAGCCGCGGUAAUACAGAGGUCUCAAGCGUUGUUCGGAAUCACUGGGCGUAAAGCGUGCGUAGGCUGUUUCGUAAGUCGUGGGUGAAAGGCGCGGGCUCAACCCGCGGACGGCAUAUGAUACUGCGAGACUAGAGUAAGUGAGGGGGAAGCGGAAUUCUAGGUGUAGCAGUGAAAUGCGUAGAUAUCGAGAGGAACACUAGUGGCGAAGGCGAGUACCUGGACAUUAACUGACGCUGAGGCACGAAGGCCAGGGGAGCGAAAGGGAUUAGAUACCCGGGUAGUC
rnacentral:rRNA from 1 species